GGAGAAUCAACAAAUGGUAUUCUCCACAAAUGGAAUCAACCCCUAGAAGUUCCUGAGAAAUCCCUGUUGAGUGGGAAAGGACCUAGAGCCAAGGAGACGAGGUUGGAGGGUCUGCUUACAGAACAAGGCACAGCAAGGAGGCAAGACACAAGCAAGAAAUGUGCUUGAUGUUACCCACUGCAGUCCUUCUUCCACUCUGGAGGAUUCUGAAGACUCAGAAGAGGGACAGGCAAUGGAUUCAGUCUAAACCCCAGGACCAGGACACUGCCUCAGCUUCGAAGCCUGGAUGCAAUGCUCUAGGGUAUAACCACUGCCCAGAAGCACAGCUAGUACAAGCUGCAGCCUCAAUCCAGGCAAGGAGCCAACUCCAACAGGUCAGGCUCCAAGGGAUGAAGACUGAAAACAUGAAUGUGUUGUGCCACUAACUCUAGCGUUUGCUUUUCCUUGUGUUUUUGCAUGCAUUGUAGACCUUGGCAUCAGCAUUUGGCUAGCUUUAAGACAGAAACUGAGAAGCCUUUUGUGUUUUAUGUGUCAACUUGACUGGGUCACAGCAUGCCCAAAUAUUUGGUUAAACACGAUUUCUAGGUGCAUCUGUGAGGAUUUUCUGGACGAGACUAAUAUUUGAAUUUGAAUCAGUGGACUAAGUAAGGCAGACUGCCCUCCCCAGUGUGGGUGGCCCUCAUCCUUCCCUCUGCCUGACACUCUUCUAGCUGGAACAUUUGUCUUCUCCUACCUUCGGACUCAGACUAUGACUGGAAUUGAUAUCAUUGACUCUCCUAGUUCUUCAGACUCAGAUUGCUUUCCCGGGACUUCUCAGCUUCCAAAUCACAUGAACCAAUUCAUUAUAGGAAAUUUUUUAAUAUAUCCUAUUAAUUCUGUUUCUCUGGAGAAACCUGAUUAAUACAGAUUUAUUUUCCUACACUCCAAUAACUCUCCACUACUCCCUCCCUCAACCCCUGGUAACUAUCCUACUUUCUGUCUCUAUAAAUUUGACUAUUCUCAGUACCUCAUAUAAGUGGAAUCAUGCAA